rnacentral:lncRNA from 1 species
AAAUACAAAAUGGUUAUACUAUACUCCUAGGAUCCUUUAAGUGGAUGAGGAAGAUGAUGGGCGACUACAUAUCUGCAAUGUGAGUGAAGUUGGUGGGGGUGGGUUUAUUUGGGUUAACCUCUUCGCAUCGUUUGGUAAAGUUUCCAUGGCUAGUGUUAUUGUUAAAUGUUGAAGGCAAGUAAGUAAAGCUUGUGAGAUGUGAAAAUUGCAAAAGAUACAUAUAUGUAAUGAAGGUUAUACUGCAGAUGGAAGUAUGGUAGGGCAGGUCAAUUGCAUUUGUAUGUAGUUUUCUCGACGUCAAAUGGACCAAUCUUAUAUCCCUAUGUUUGUGAGCUCACCAAAUCACUCCAAUCAAAGUACCACUGAGUCAGCUGAAACGGUAAAUCACUCCAAUAAGACACUUUUUUUCUUUUUUUUUCCAACAAUUAAUAGUUCAUUUUCACCUAAUUGUAGGCAAGGUUUCCAACGGCAGUUUAGAGGCAUGUUUCACAUAGUCCAAGCUUUUGGGUUUUAACGUUUAAGACAUGAUUUUUUUAAAAAAAAUUUUGAGAUGGCAAAUGAGAAGAAA